rnacentral:rRNA from 1 species
UACGAAGGGGGCUAGCGUUGUUCGGAAUUACUGGGCGUAAAGCGCACGUAGGCGGAUUUGUAAGUCAGGGGUGAAAUCCCGGGGCUCAACCUCGGAACUGCCUUUGAUACUGCAAAUCUCGAGUCGGAAGAGGUGAGUGGAAUUCCUAGUGUAGAGGUGAAAUUCGUAGAUAUUAGGAAGAACACCAGUGGCGAAGGCGGCUCACUGGUCCGGUACUGACGCUGAGGUGCGAAAGCGUGGGGAGCAACA